UGAGUAACGCGUGGGUAACCUGCCUUACACAGGGGGAUAACAGUUAGAAAUGACUGCUAAUACCGCAUAAGCGCACAGUAUCGCAUGAUACAGUGUAGAAAAACUCCGGGUGGUGUAAGAUGGACCCGCGUCUGAUUAGCUAGUUGGUGAGGUAACGGCCACCAAGGCGACGAUCAGUAGCCGGCCUGAGAGGGUGAACGGCCACAUUGGGACUGAGACACGGCCCAAACUCCUACGGGAGGCAGCAGUAGGAAUAGUUGGACAAUGGGGGAAACCCUGAUCCAGCCGACGCCGCGUGAGUGAAGAAGUAUUUCGGUACGUAAAGCUCUAUCAGCAGGGAAGAAAAUGACGGUACCUGACUAAGAAGCACCGGCUAAAUACGUGCCAGCAGCAGC
rnacentral:rRNA from 1 species